rnacentral:misc_RNA from 1 species
UCCGGUUUGACACCGGCAGUCCCCUUAGAGUUCCCGGCUUAACCCGAUGGCAACUAAGGGCAAAGGUUUCGCUCGUUAUGGGACUUAACCCGACAUCUCACGACACGAGCUGACGACAGCCAUGCAGCACCUGUACUUGUUGUACCCCGAAGGGCCUACCCGGCUUUCACCGGGAUAAUCCAAGCAUGUCAAGCCCAGGUAAGGUUCUGCGCGUUGCUUCGAAUUGAACCACAUGCUCCACCGCUUGUGUGAGCCCCCGUCAAUUCCUUUGAGUUUUAGCCUUGCGACCGUACUUCCCAGGCGGUCCACUUAGCACUUUUGCUUCGACCGCGAUGCCGUCAGAGGCACCACGAUCUAGUGGACAUCGUUUAGGGCCAGGACUA